rnacentral:rRNA from 1 species
CCUACGGGAGGCUGCAGUGGGGAAUAUUGGUCAAUGGGCGCAAGCCUGACCCAGCAACGCCGCGUGAAGGAAGACGGCUUUCGGGUUGUUAACUUCUUUUUUCAGGGAAGAGUAGUAGUCGGUACCUGGCGUUUAAGCCACGGCUAACUAAGGGCCAGCAGCCGAGGUAAUACGGAGGUGGCAAGCGUUGUCCGGAUUUACUGGGUGUAAAGGGCGUGUAGCCGGGUUGACAAGUCAGAUGUGAAAUCCUGCGGCUUAACCGCAGAGCUGCAUGUGAAACUGUUGAUCUAGAGUACUGGUGAGGCAGAUGGAAUGCCUAGUGUAGCGGUGAAAUGCGUAGAUAUUAGGAGGAACACCAGUUGCGAAGGCAGUCUGCUAGACAGCAACUGACAGUGAGGCGCGAAAGCGUGGGGAGCAAACAGGAUUAGAUACCCCAGUAGUC